rnacentral:rRNA from 1 species
CGGGGAAUAUUGCACAAUGGGCGCAAGCCUGAUGCAGCCAUGCCGCGUGUAUGAAGAAGGCCUUCGGGUUGUAAAGUACUUUCAGCGAGGAGGAAGGGGAUGUGGUUAAUAACCGCAUUCAUUGACGUUACUCGCAGAAGAAGCACCGGCUAACUCCGUGCCAGCAGCCGCGGUAAUACGGAGGGUGCAAGCGUUAAUCGGAAUUACUGGGCGUAAAGCGCACGCAGGCGGUCUGUCAAGUCGGAUGUGA